rnacentral:pre_miRNA from 1 species
UUUAAGUACAGCCAUGGUUUUCUACGCUCAACUUUGAUCGUUCGUCUUAUUUAAAAAAUUUUUGAAAAAAAUUAAAAACAUAAGUCACGAGUAAAGUACUAUUCAUGUUUUAUCAUCUUAUAACAACAAAAAUACUAAUUAUAAAAAAAAAGACGGACAAUUAAAGUUGGGCACGAAAACUCAUGGUUGCACUUAGA